rnacentral:tRNA from 1 species
GAAAUAUCAAAAUUAAGCUUCUAACUUAAAAUUUUAAGCGGUAAACCGUUUAUAUUUCU